AGAGUUUGAUCCUGGCUCAGGAUGAACGCUGNCGGCGUGCCUAAUACAUGCAAGUCGAGCGGUAAGGCUCCUGCAGUUUAUUUGAUUGCGAUGAUUUGGUUCAUCACAGCGACCCCGAUUAACCCCGGCUAGGGAAGAGAAGGAGAGCAAAAAUCGAAUGAAGUGCUGGAGUACACGAGCGGCGGACGGCUGAGUAACACGUAGGAACGUACCCCAAACUGAGGGAUAAGCACCAGAAAUGGUGUCUAAUACCGCAUGUGAUCUCCGGAUUAAAGCUACGGCGGUUUGGGAACGGCCUGCGCACGAUUAGAUAGUUGGUGAGGUAAUGGCUCACCAAGUCGACGAUCGUUAGCUGGUCUGAGAGGAUGAUCAGCCAGACUGGGACUGAGAACGGCCCAGACUCCUACGGGAGGCAGCAGUAGGGAAUUUUCCACAAUGGACGAAAGUCUGAUGGAGCAACGCCGCGUGCAGGAUGAAUGCCUUCGGGUUGUAAACUGCUUUUAUCUGUGACGAAUAUGACGGUAGCAGAUGAAUAAGGAUCGGCUAACUCCGUGCCAGCAGCCGCGGUCAUACGGAGGAUCCAAGCGUUAUCCGGAAUUACUGGGCGUAAAGAGUUGCGUAGGUGGCACUGUGUGUCUGUAGUGAAAGCGUGUGGCUCAACCAUAUAUACAUUACAGAAACUGCAGAGCUAGAGGGCGAGAGAGGUUACUAGAAUUCCUAGUGUAGGAGUGAAAUCCGUAGAUAUUAUGAGGAAUACCGAUGGCGUACGCAGGUAACUGGCUCGUCCCUGACACUANGCACGAAAGCGUGGGGAGCAAACGGGAUUAGAUACCCCGGUAGU
rnacentral:rRNA from 1 species